GCGGGUGUAGCUCAGUUGGUUAGAGCGCCAGAUUGUGGCUCUGGAGGUCGUGGGUUCGAUUCCCGUUGCCCGCCCCA
rnacentral:tRNA from 1 species